rnacentral:tRNA from 1 species
UUUGAGAUAAUUUUGAAAUAGUUUUAUUAAAAUUAAAACUUUUAAAAAUUUAAAG